GAUGAACGCUGGCGGCGUGCCUAAUACAUGCAAGUCGAGCGAAUGGAUUAAGAGCUUGCUCUUAUGAAGUUAGCGGCGGACGGGUGAGUAACACGUGGGUAACCUGCCCAUAAGACUGGGAUAACUCCGGGAAACCGGGGCUAAUACCGGAUAAUAUUUUGAACUGCAUGGUUCAACAUUGAAAGGCGGCUUCGGCUGUCACUUAUGGAUGGACACGCGUCGCCUUAGCUAGUUGGUGAGGUAACGGCUCACCAAGGCAACGAUGCGUAGCCGACCUGAGAGGGUGAUCGGCCACACUGGGACUGAGACACGGCCCAGACUCCUACGGGAGGCAGCAGUAGGGAAUCUUCCGCAAUGGACGAAAGUCUGACGGAGCAACGCCGCGUGAGUGAUGAAGGCUUUCGGGUCGUAAAACUCUGUUGUUAGGGAAGAACAAGUGCUAGUUGAAUAAGCUGGCACCUUGACGGUACCUAACCAGAAAGCCAUGGCUAACUACGUGCCAGCCGCCGCCGGUAA
rnacentral:rRNA from 1 species